UGCUGAUCCUCUUUCUCUUCCAAUUGCAGGUCCCGGCUAAGCCCUUGUUAGCAAUGGGAGCCGUGCUGUUGUCCUCGAAGGUCUGGGAUAAGGCCUUGUUAGCAAUGGAAGCACUUGUGUCUGACAUGCCGGAGCCCUUGAAGUUCCUGCUUAAGGCCUUUUUACCAGUGUAAGCAGCUGUGUCUGCCGUGCUGGGACCCUUGAAGGUAUG